rnacentral:lncRNA from 1 species
GUCUGUUGUAUACAGUGUCAGUUGUGUAUUGUGUCUGUUGUAUACUGUAUCUGUUGUAUACAGUGUCAGUUUUGGACAAUGUCAAUUGUGUAUUGUGUCUGUUGUGUACAGUGUCAGUUGUGUAUUGUGUCUGUUGUGUACAGUGUCAGUUGUGUAUUGUGUCUGUUGUGUACAGUGUCAGUUGUGUACUUUGUUGUGUAUCUGUUGUGUACUUUGUCUCAGGCCAUUUGGGCUGCAUCCGCAUUUCCGAUGGGAUUUCCGAUGUUUCUGGCCUUUCUUGGGAGAAGAGUCAGGUCAGCCUCUGAGAUGAAAAGCAUAAUGUUUCUCAUCCUUUUCUUCCCGUGUCCCCAUGAAGUUCCUAUCUGUCUACCCAGCCCAGUGCUUUGGUAAGCCUUUCCUAGAAAUGGGGCAACCUCGGUAGCUCCUGAUUUUAUUUUGUGAACCUUUGGCCACUUCAUAAAGAGCUCUUCUGUUGCUAAUGAA